rnacentral:rRNA from 1 species
AGAGUUUGAUCCUGGCUCAGGGUAAACGCUGGCGGCGCACAUAAGACAUGCAAGUCGAACGGACUUAAUACCUUGCUUGCAAGGUAAGCGGUUAGUGGCGGACUGGUGAGUAACACGUAAGAAAUCUGCCUAUCAGAGGGGAAUAACAGUGAGAAAUCAUUGCUAAUACCGCAUAUGCCAUAUUUAUCGCAUGAUAGAAGUGGGAAAGGAGAAAUCCGCUGAUAGAUGAGCUUGCGGCUGAUUAGCUAGUUGGUGGGGUAAGAGCCUACCAAGGCGACGAUCAGUAGCCGGACUGAGAGGUUGAACGGCCACAUUGGGACUGAGAUACGGCCCAGACUCCUACGGGAGGCAGCAGUCGGGAAUAUUGCGCAAUGGAGGGAACUCUGACGCAGUGACGCCGCGUAUAGGAAGAAGGUUUUCGGAUUGUAAACUAUUGUCCACAGGGAAGAAUAAGGACAGUACCUGUGAAGAAAGCUCCGGCUAACUACGUGCCAGCAGCCGCGGUAAUACGUAGGGAGCGAGCGUUAUCCGGAAUUAUUGGGUGUAAAGGGUGCGUAGACGGGAGAACAAGUUAGUUGUGAAAACCCUCGGCUCAACUGAGGACGUGCAACUAAAACUAUUCAUCUUGAGUGCAGGAGAGGAAAGUGGAAUUCCUAGUGUAGCGGUGAAAUGCGUAGAUAUUAGGAAGAACACCGGUGGCGAAGGCGACUUUCUGGACUGUAACUGACGUUGAGGCACGAAAGUGUGGGGAGCAAACAGGAUUAGAUACCCUGGUAGUCCACACUGUAAACGAUGGAUAC